GGUGGCUCAGCGAUAGAGUGCUUGCCUUGCAUGCAUGAGGCCCUGGGUUCAAUUCCUCAGCACCA
rnacentral:tRNA from 1 species